CCGUACCUUUGUUGUCACCGCACCGCACACUAUGCACAGUAUUGCAUACGGUAGGCUCUGUAUUUGCAUUGAGUUGUAUUCGUCAGUGACAUCCAAAAUCACUGACCUGUCACGAUUUCGCAAGAUCAACUUCACCACUGGUUUUGAGGAGCUGGGGAAUAUGGCUACUGUGUGUUAGCAUGGAAUCGUAAAAUUGAUUAAAGUGUCUCUUCUAGUGAGAUUAGCGUAGGGCCUAUAGGUGAACGCACAUGACAGUUCAUUGCACUGUUUCCCUCCAUGAUGAUUGUAUAUGCACUGAAUUAAACUGCGGCUUUCCAUUGUCGGUUUUACAAGAGGCAGUCCACGAAGAAUGCCAACCAUAUUGCUCAGGUUCUCGGCCUUAGCACCUGCAGUGAAAGGUUUUGAGCGAUGCGACGAUUUAGCCGUCUACGGGUACUGAUAGCCGUGGUUUUGUUCGCUGUGUGUUUGGUGGAACUGUUGCUUGUUGCCCUUGCGGGAUCAAGGAAUAGCACCAGAGAUCACCUCCGAGACGAGAGUCGAGCGGACACGGGAUCAGCAGGG